AAAACAGAACAAAAAGUAGGAUAGGCCGAUAAAAAGAACACUUGUAACGGGCGCCUAAAGGGCCAUUUAAGAUAUGGCUUUUUAUAGUGCCAGCCUCAUGCACAGCACGGGCCUAUACGCCCUAGCAAAAGAGCACUAUUGGGCCUAGGAGCGCUAACUUUUUGCAGGACGCCGCAUGUGUGCACUAGUACAAAAAAAGUUAGCUAUGGUGUGGUUAAAAUGUGUUUGUUAGUCACUAGUAGAAAACUGGUCUUACAUUCGUCCGUUUAGUCUCGGUUUGGUUUUGACCCGGGACUAAUGCCACCAUUAGUCCCGGUUCGAGGAGUUAAGCUUUUGUCCCGGUUCGUUAAGGGCCUUUAGUCACGGGUUGAGCCACGAACCGUGACUAAAGGGUUGGUGGCAACCGUUCGCCUGAUGCGAGACCCUUUAGUCCCGGUUAGGGUCUCAAACCGAGACUUAAGGGGUCGUGGGGACCGUUCGCCUGCUGGUGCGAGCCCCUUUAAUCCCGGUU
rnacentral:lncRNA from 1 species